rnacentral:rRNA from 1 species
GGAUUCCCCUAGUAACUGCGAGUGAAGCGGGAAGAGCUCAAAUUUAAAAUCUGGCGGUUUUGGCCGUCCGAGUUGUAGUCUGGAGAAGUGUUUUCCGCGCUGGACCGUGUACAAGUCUCUUGGAAUAGAGCGUCAUAGAGGGUGAGAAUCCCGUCUUUGACACGGACUGCCAGUGCUUUGUGAUGCGCUCUCAAAGAGUCGAGUUGUUUGGGAAUGCAGCUCAAAAUGGGUGGUAAAUUCCAUCUAAAGCUAAAUAUUGGCGAGAGACCGAUAGCGAACAAGUACCGUGAGGGAAAGAUGAAAAGCACUUUGGAAAGAGAGUUAAACAGUACGUGAAAUUGCUGAAAGGGAAACACUUGAAGUCAGUCACAUCAUUUGGAACUCAGCCUUGCUCUUGCUUGGUGCACUUUCUAAGUGAUGGGCCAGCAUCAAUUUUGACUGUUGGAAAAGGGUUGGAGGAAUGUGGCACCUUUUGGGGUGUGUUAUAGCCUUCAAUCGCAUGCAGCAGUUGGGAUUGAGGAAUGCAGCGUGCCGCAAGGCAGGGGUUCUUACCCACUCUUCACGCUUAGGAUGCUGGCAUAAUGGCUUUAAGUGACCCGUCUUGAAACACGGACCAAGGAGUCUAACAUACCUGCAAGUAUUUGGGUGGAAAACCCAAGUGCGUAAUGAAAGUGAAAG